ensembl:lncRNA
AUGAAUGAAGAACGGAUUUCUGAUCUUACCUAAUCAUUUUGGCUGCAGUAAGAUGAAUUACUGAGGACAUCCAUUAAAAUGAUGAUUUGUAAUCCAGCUCUAGAGUUAUUGAAGUUUGGGGAACCAAAAGGCAAGAUCCUUACUUUCACCGAGUGGAGCAAGAAAUAAUGAAGUUCAAAAGGAAGCGUUGAAUUAUGAGCCUCCUUUCCCUUCCAUUUUUGUCCGGCCUAGCUGGGUGUCACUAGAGGUGACAUUACUUAUUCUCUGCCAAGGUCCAGCUUCACCAUGGAGCAGUGACAGCCAUAAAAAAAGAUGGCAUUGAGCAUUUAUGAAAGAAUGUUGCUCAUCAUUACUUGCUGAAUGUGUGACAGAGCUGGAGGGAGGAAGAACAACUGAGAUCUGAUUCUUACCCCUAGGCCUGUUCCUCUGAGCCUGCCCCUCCCAGGGUGCUGCUGAUCAGAAGUUGGAUUUGGGGCUGUUUUUCAAAAGUGUGCUGUCACCC